GUCCACGCCGUAAACGUUGGGCACUAGGUGUGGGGCUCUGUCAACGAGUUCCAUGCCGUCGCUAACGCAUUAAGUGCCCCGCCUGGGGAGUACGGCCGCAAGGCUAAAACUCAAAGGAAUUGACGGGGGCCCGCACAAGCGGCGGAGCAUGUUGCUUAAUUCGAGGCAACGCGAAGAACCUUACCUGGGUUUGACAUGUACGGAAAAGCCGCAGAGAUGCGGUGUCCUUCGGGUCGUACACAGGUGGUGCAUGGCUGUCGU
rnacentral:rRNA from 1 species